CUUGUCUGAAGGGGCUUUGGUCUCCGCAACAGAAUCUCCAUAUCCUCCAACGUAGACUCACCCCUUCGAAGCCUAUUUGGCUGAGUCCCACUCCUCUCGAAAGCUCCCGCGCUCAAUUGGAGCCCCGUCCCCGGUCACCUGAAGCUGCCGCAGUUCGUCCUUAGUAGCAUCAGGCCUUGGAGAUGGUCCAUUGAUCAUGCUGUGGAGCGGCGGCGGCUGAGCUUGGAGUCUGGCCCCUGGCACUGAUUGCUCAGGCAUAUCCCCCAGUGCCUCUUACUCGCCGCUAGCCCAGCAAGGAGACCGUUGGUCCUGGGACCCCUGAGCAGACCGCGCAGGACCCCUCCAGGCUCAUCCCUGCUCUGGUGUGAUGGGGUCCGCAAAGAGUCUCUGCUGUUGGCGCUAAGCACACUGUGUGGGUGUUGGGGAACCUGCCCUGGGCACCUGUUACAGAGGAACCCACCCCUUCAGGCCCUCUGGUCCAGAGAGAUGGGUAGGGUGUGUGCAUAAGUAGCCACCACCUAAUCUCAGGCUGNNNNNNNNNNNNNNNNNNNNGGGGGCGGGGCGGGCUUUUGCACCUUCUUAGCCAAAGCCCAGUCUUGGGCUCCUCGGCGGAGGUUGCUGCGCAGGAUUCCCAUUGUAGCUUUGUUCUGUGCUGUCUUCUCCUUCACACCCUGGAUCUGGAGUGCCCGACAUUGUUCUGUAGGUGGUGGAGGGAACAAGAUUUCCAGACUGUAGGGUAAAAGGACUGGCUGAGAAUCUCCGCAAAGCAUCCAGAGAGAUACCUGGAAUGAGCUGUACUUGGCAUAGGAGCCUUUCCCUUGGAAAUCUUGUCCCAUCUUUCCUGGGCUGCCCUGAAAGCCCCGUUCUCCUGUAAACACAAGGACUAAACUGGAUCUCAUCUCCUAGGCUGCCCUUCUAAAAUGUCCCAUCUCCUGCUGCCACAUGUGCAGGCAUAUGCAGGCCUGAACCCUGAGGUUCAUCGGAGUAGCCAGCUCUCUAACAGCAAUGGCUUCCCCCAUCUCCAACUGCAGCAAGCUGAGCACAGCCCAGGCGUGUUGUAUGCAGCAGGCGGCUUAUAAGUGUUGUAUCCAGCAGGCGGCUUAUAUUGCAGCAGCUUCUGGCUGAGUCUCCAGUUCCCAACUCCCUGCAGAGGCACGGGGACUCAUGCACAACUGCUUCUGGUUUUCUAUAUUCUCUCAGGGAAUCUGAAGUAUUGGCUACAGACCCAGGCUUGCCUGCCACUUCAAGGUGCAGAGUGCCUUUAUAAGCUGGCCCUGAGAAGUGUCCAGUGUGUAGCUUCCACUUGUGCAGCCGGAGCUGUCACCCUGGUCCGAUCAGUCUUGGAGUGUGCAUUCAAUAAACCAACCCUGUUUAACUG
ensembl:antisense Fcnaos ficolin A, opposite strand